GCCUUCAUGGUGUAGUGGUCAGCACGCUCGACGCGUAACCGAGAGGUCCGUGGUUCGAUUCCCGGCAAAGGCG
rnacentral:tRNA from 1 species